rnacentral:misc_RNA from 1 species
UGACGGGAAGAUGCCGGCCGGG